UUCUUUUUUAUCACAAGCAGUGACAAGCCUGGUAUAUAUUAACUCUUUCAAUUUACAAGAAUUUUCUUGACCACUCAAUAUAGCAGCAUACAUUUUUUAUACUUUAAAUGUGAUUAAGCAGAGAAGCUUGAAGUACUUUUCUAUAAUUAACUGCUCAACUGUGUUAGAGAAUGAAAACAGCUUUCAGAAGUAGAUCUGACAUUCACCAACAGCCGGGAGAGGACAGAGCUGAUGUCUUUUCUACCUAUGAACGAACAGUUUUGUCCUUCAGAGGUGGUGACCUUGGUUUCUUUCUGAAAGAUACCUGAACUCUAGCCAAUGGUGCUUUAGGAUUUGAUGUACCACCUGACCCAUCUCAAAGGACAAAGAAGAAUAAAGUUUUUCAAAGGUCACAUCUCAGCCAUUUACAAUUUUUUGUUAUGUUUCUGUCAUGGCUGAAGAUUGUAGUCAGACAAUUGCAACAAAAACAACCAAAGCCAAAAUGAACCAAUGAACACAACAGAAAUGGAGAAAGAAGGAAAAAAAAGAGCUUCUGUCUAGGGUUCAAAUGCUUCCACUCGUAAGUCUUAACCUUUUUGAUAAUUAUAUUAUGUGCAGCGGCAAAGAAACAAAAGGGGAUAAAGGUCUUAAGAGUUAUAUUGAUAAACUAUGUGUGGUGCUCAAAAAUGGCAUGGAAUAUCUUGUUUAAGCUGUAAAAAUAUAUUAGCAUGUCAUGUUAUCUUCAUAAAUUCUUCUCACACAUAGGGUGGGUGGAGUUCCUAAAUCCCAAGGCACAUUACCAAUUCAGUUGGUCACUGCCAUUCAUCAAUUGUUUUGUCACAUAUUUGCAGCCCCUCAGUUGGGACUGAGGUAUUAUGAUUCUAGAGGGUUUGAUAAUAGGUGAAUUAUUAGCUGUUGGGGACGGAUUUGUUUCUGAGCCUUUCUGUGGCAGUCUCUUAUAUAGGAAGGCAAUCAUUCUCACAGAAUUUGCUCCCUCAGACAUAAAGAGAUUUUGAAUAUGGCUUGUAAUUUUUUUCCUAGUAAAAUUUCAUUAGUGGUUAAUUAUGAUUGGUAGAGCUUACCGGAAGUUCGCCAAGUGUGUUGAGAGUUCAAACGUCAAAUUUUGAACUGCGUCAUGAUGGGAUGGACGGCUCUUGGUAUUCUCUGUCACCAUGUUUAUACACACUGUGUAUCAAUCUUCUAUGCAUUAUCGCAUGUUGAACUUGUGAUUUUAACCUUGUUGGAAAACAAAAGGGGCUUUUAGAAUUCACUUUUCUCAGUCUGGGCAACGGUACUUUCUGGGUUUGGAGCCUUUGCCUUAUACUGUAUGAUUUGGGGUAAGAAAUAAUUCAAGGGCUAUUUCAACAGCGUCUAACUUUGAUAGGAUGCAAGAAGUUAAGUUAAAUGCUUUUUGUAGAUGUUGCAGAUUGGGCCAGAUGAACCCAAAGUGUGGCUAAGUCUGGUCAGUCUCAUCUACAGUUUUCUCACAGAAGCCAGAUCAGAUCUAAGGCAGAUUAAGCAGAAUCCAUUUCUCUUCCAAAAGGGCCCGUUUGUAAGAACCAGGAAGAAGAUAAAACACAAAGGAAUAGAAUAAACUUCUCAAUACAUCCUUCUGAAAGUUUCAAGUUUCUAUUUUAAAAGGGUGUAUCCUCAUUAAAGGCAGGCACUUUAGCUCAUACAAUUGUCAUGAGCUCUGAAAUCAGCUUGACUAUUGCAAAAAUUUAUUGGUUUCUUAAAUUUUUUUUCCCAUAAGGGUAGGAGAAAAUAACAAACGAAGGAGGCUUUCCCAAAAGUCAAUACAAAACACAGCUUUAUUGAAAUAACUAGGUAAUUAGACACAUGAUUUAAAUUAUGCUGAAUCAAAAGUUGUUGCCUGGCAGGUAAUGCUGUCAGGGUUUUGUGCUGUCUUUCCUCUCUGUUUUACCAGAGACUGGAUUGAUCUGAAAACUGCAUCUAUAAGUUCCUCACUGGAGAAUAUAGGCAAAGAAAUGAUCCCCUUGGCAGUAGAAGUCCAGUGGUGGCAGAUGCACGUACAGCAAAAAUUCUGGCAUGCUGGAGUAGGUUUAAAAUAGUGCUAAGGAGUUUUUAAUGUGUUUUUUUUUUUCUGUGUUGGGAUAUAAACAUUUUUUGAUGAGGGAUGUUUCUGUUUCGGCAAAGAAUUAUGUGGCUGAAUGAUGCAGAAUGGGAGUCAGGGCCUGCAAGAUAUUUGAUUAUGCGCUACAGAGGCCUCAUAAUUGAAAUGAGGUCUGAGUCUUAGACCUUCUCUAUCCAUCCCACAGUUACGUAAAAUAUUUCUGAUAGGUUAUUUUGAGCCCCUUUUGUCAGCCGUAUAGCUCUGGCGCCAUUGUGGAGAACCCUUGGCCUAGGGCGGACUCAGUCCUAGAUUUUCUUUUCUUUUUUUUUUUAAUAUGAAAUUUAUUGUCAAAUUGGUUUCCAUACAAUAGAUUUUCCUAUUUAAAGUGCUUGAUAGGGGAUACAAAAUAAAUCUAAGUCAUAGAUUCUAUAUUCUAGAUGCUUACAGUCUAUUUUAGGGAAGCAACACUCAUGUACAGGAGUAGAGAGAGGAAGAAGACCAAUGAGGGCUUUAAGGUGCUAUGGAAUGCUUGUAUUUGGGCAGGCAAGGAACAAGGAGGAUGAUAACCGUGACCUGUAUUGGGGGGGUGGGGCAAGCUACAUAGGUGUUGAGGUUGAAAUGUGUCUGGCAUGAGGAAUUAGAUGGCUCUUCUCCCCCUUAACUAUUUUAACUCAGUCACCUACUCAGCACAUGUUUAUUGCACAUCAAUCAUGGUCCAGGGUGCCUUGGUGAGGAACACAGUGCUGAAGACAAGGAGCAUAGCUGCUGCCUUCAUGAAGUUUAAGAUCUGGUGGGCAAUAGGCAUUGAACACGAAAACAAACAAACGUAUAUAACAAGAAACUGUGGUAGGCAAUAGUAAAGAAAAGCAAGAUGCUACAAAAGAGAUCGUGGUGUGGGGAAUACAGGUUGGAAGAAGAGACAUUUAAGGUGAGAUUCGAAGGAUCUACUUUUUUUUUUUUACUUAAAUUUUUUUUAACGUUUAUUUAUUUUUGAGAGACAGAGAGAGAGCACGAGCAGGAGAUGGGCAGAGAGAGAGGGAGACCCAGAAUCCGAAGCAGGCAUCAGAUCCUGAGCUGUCAGGCUCCAGACAGAACCUGAUGUGGGGCUGAGCCCCGCGCGGGGCUCAAACCCACGAACCGUGAGAUCAGAACUGGAGCUGAAGUUGGACGCUUAACUGACUGAUCCACCCAGGCACCCCUCGAAGGAUAUAGUUAUUAAAAUAUAAAGACGCUUCUUAUAUAGGAUGUGCUAAAAUUAGAUAGAAUUUCUACCGAGGGGCUCUUUUACGUCAUGUGUCUGACAAAUGAGGUAAAGAAAUAUUUAGGACAUGCUCAUUCAAUUGGCAACUGUAUCAGGCAGGGGCUCACCAAGAAACAGAUGCUACCUGCAAAUUGGAGAACUUGAGGAGGGUUGAAUAAAUUUAUAAAGCAGUGGUGAUGGUGUACGGAAAGUAUUUUCAGGGCCAUUAAUAACAGAGCUGUCACAAUCCCUAGACCCAAAGGGACAAGCUGGAGGGCAUGGAGACCUGAGUACCAGGAGGAGGGGCAGUAAUGCUUUGAGAUGAACAGCGACCUUGGUUGAGGGACACAGCGGCCCAAGGUGCCCCCGGUGUGAGAAUGCAGGUUUGGGGGGCACGAUACAACCUGAGAUCUCGCUCUCCUUUUCCUUCUGCUCUCCUGGUAAUGAUCCCCUUUGGCUAGACCCAACUAGACAUCAUCAGAUGAUGAAUUUCACACAGGCUGGCCUCCCAGUUAGAGAUCAACGCCCAGAAGGUAGAACAUGGACUUUGGAGAGAGACAGAAGAUACCUCAUACGGCAAGGCUACAUGAAGCUCUUACCCUAGACACAGCUCAGAGGUGUGAAAGAACGCAGGCCUUGUAAAACGACUUACGAAGAUCUGCUCUGGUUUGAGUUCAUAUGUGGUGGGUGUGGUGUGGUUCAUCGGAAUCCAAACUGUGGCUUCUAGAGACUAUGAUAAUCGCUCUUUCUUCUAAGGUUUUUCCUACUUGGUUUUCAGGCUUCUCUUCUAGUGGCUGUAUUUUUUUCUGUAGCCUCUGUCAUAAUAUCCGAAUCACACUGGGAAGGCACACCACAUGUGAUGGCAAUGCCACGGGAAGUGCAACGGGCCAGAAACCUCUCACGGCUGAGCACCAUGCUACCAGCAUUACUCACGCAGGCACCUACAGCACAUUCCUACAAUGCUACUUCUCCUUGGGACCAUUGCUCUGCUCUUUCCUGGGGUUGUUCUGUCAUUUUCUUUUUCCUCAGCAAGGCUGGGGAUGUGGAAAUGAAGAAAGGCAGAAGUUGAAAUUUGUUGUAAUACUAGCUGACAUCUGAACGCUGGGAUCGCUGUGUAAGAGGAAGGAAUGGAUGUAUUUACCAAAUAGCGCCAAUCCCCCUUUCCGCCUUCGUUUCAAAUUCUGCAGAAAAAAAGACAGCUCUGAAAAUUUACGAGCCAUAACGUGCUCUUCAUUACUUGGUCACAGGGUAAGCAACCAGCACCCAAGCCUAAGGGUCACCUGCAGGUCUGGAAAUCUUUGUAACUUUAUAGGGAGGUUCAUUGGCUCCAGGAGGAGUGAUGAGGUGCUGAGAAGCCACUCAUUCACCAGGGAACUGCUAAGCACUUUUGUGAUAAAUAAGGAUAUACAUAUGCACAGAGCUCUUUCGUUAGAGCAUUUUCCCCAAACAUGAGAAUCUCAGUUAAUUGUUACAGUGGCCCCGUGAAUGGGGCAGGGCAGGCCUCGCAAACUUCCAUUUCAGAUGAGAAAUUGAGCCUCACAGGCCAUAGGGCCUGCCAGGGUCCUGUGGCUGGGAAAUAGCAGAGGUGCUGGAAACGAAUUCCAAUUUCCAAUUUUUUUUUUUUUUUUUAUUUUAAAUCACAACAGUUUCCAAUGGAAGCUUUCAAAGCAGAGACUUGUCUAGCCCUUUUACUGUUCGCAGAAAAUUCGAGGGUGUUGAGAUAAUCGGGAACUUUUCCUUUACCGAGUUUGUUUAUAAAUUUGUCCAAUGAAAAGAGAAGUGUGGCUGGAGGUAAAAUUAGACUCUGUUGGAACUUCUGUUCAAAUACCUCUUUCCUUGUUUUUUCCUCUUCGGGAUCCUGGUCACAGGACGGGAAGCCUGUUUCUCUCUUUGCUGUCAUACUCGCUCUUAGUAAAACGAGGACUCGUGGCAGCAUUGUGAACAGUGGAGUUCUACGAUCUGACUUCUAGUUUUACAAAGACUCCCCUGGCCACUGUGCUGAGAGCAGACAUUGGAUUUUGACAGCAGAGCCUACAGGAUUUCCUGACAAUUUAGAUGCGGCUUGUGAAAGAAAGAGAGGAGUCAAGGAUCAAUACAAGUGUUUGGCCCAAGCCACUGAAGGAAGGAGGUACCAUCAAUGAAGAUGGGGAAGAAUGAGUUUAUUUCACUUUUCUAGCUUCAACAUAUUCACUGGAAAGAGGAAGAAGGAAAUUGGAAACAGGUAUUCUUUACUAUUUUUUGAAUGAGGGCAUUAUUUUACUAACUUAUUCUUGCAGUUCAGUAAGACACCAAUUUUUCAGCUGUUUUAAUUUUUCAGGUUUUUUUUGUUUAAAAAUUUUUUAAUGUUUAUUAAUUUUUGAGAGAGA